UGAGGAAUAUUGGGCAAUGCCCGCAAGGGUGACCCAGCAACGCCGCGUGGAGGAUGAAUGUCGUAAGAUUGUAAACUCCUGUUAGAGGGGAAGAAUAGUACCGGUUGGACCGGUAUAUGACUGUACCCUCAGAGAAAGCCCCGGCUAACUACGUGCCAGCAGCCGCGGUAAUACGUAGGGGGCAAGCGUUGUCCGGAUUUGCUGGGUGUAAAGGGCGAGCAGGCGGGAUAAAAAGUCAGUGGUGAAAUCCUACAGCUUAACUGUAGAACUGCCUUUGAUACUUGUAUUCUUGAGUGCGGGAGAGGGAGACGGAAUUCCAGGUGUAGUGGUGAAAUACGUAGAUAUCUGGAAGAACACCAGUUGCGAAGGCGGUCUCUUGGUCCGACACUGACGCUGAGGCGCGAAAGCGUGGGGAGCAAACA
rnacentral:rRNA from 1 species